GGGGGGGGGGGGGGGGGGGGGGGAGGCGGGGGGGGCGGGCGGGAGGGCCCAAGCUUGGUUGGGGGGGCGGGUGGCGGACGGGGGAGUGACACGGGGGGGGUCUGCCCUGGCCGUCGGGAUAAGCCUGGGGAACUGGGGCGAAUACUGGGGAGGGCCACUUCUUGGGUGUUGUGGUGGAAAGUUUUUUCGGUGUGGGAUUAGCUCGCGGCCUAUCAGCUUGUUGGUGGGGUAAUGGCCUACCAAGGCGUCGACGGGUAGCCGGCCUGAGAGGGUGUACGGCCACAUUGGGACUGAGAUACGGCCCAGACUCCUACGGGAGGCAGCAGUGGGGAAUAUUGCACAAUGGGCGCAAGCCUGAUGCAGCGACGCCGCGUGGGGGAUGACGGCCUUCGGGUUGUAAACUCCUUUCGCUAGGGACGAAGCGUUUUGUGUCGGUACCUGGAGAAGAAGCACCGGCUAACUACGUG
rnacentral:rRNA from 1 species